AGAGUUUGAUCCUGGCUCAGGAUGAACGCUAGCUACAGGCUUAACACAUGCAAGUCGAGGGGCAGCAUAUCGAAAGCUUGCUUUUGAUGAUGGCGACCGGCGCACGGGUGAGUAACGCGUAUCCAACCUUCCCUAUACUAGAGGAUAGCCCGGCGAAAGUCGGAUUAAUACUCUAUGUUCUUCGUAGAAGACAUCUGAAAUGAAGCAAAGGUUUACCGGUAUAGGAUGGGGAUGCGUCUGAUUAGGUUGUUGGCGGGGUAACGGCCCACCAAGCCCACGAUCAGUAGGGGUUCUGAGAGGAAGGUCCCCCACAUUGGAACUGAGCCAUGAUCAAACUC
rnacentral:rRNA from 1 species